GACGAACGCUGGCGGCGUGCUUAACACAUGCAAGUCGAACGGAAAGGCCCUGCUUUUGUGGGGUGCUCGAGUGGCGAACGGGUGAGUAACACGUGAGUAACCUGCCCUUGACUUUGGGAUAACUUCAGGAAACUGGGGCUAAUACCGGAUAGGAGCUCCUGCUGCAUGGUGGGGGUUGGAAAGUUUCGGCGGUUGGGGAUGGACUCGCGGCUUAUCAGCUUGUUGGUGGGGUAGUGGAUUACCAAGGCUUUGACGGGUAGCCGGCCUGAGAGGGUGACCGGCCACAUUGGGACUGAGAUACGGCACAGACUCCUACGGGAGGCAGCAGUGGGGAAUAUUGCACAAGGGGAGGAAGCCUGAUGCAGCAACGCCGCGUGCGGGAUGACGGCCUUCGGGUUGUAAACCGCUUUCGCCUGUGACGAAGCGUGAGUGACGGUAAUGGGUAAAGAAGCACCGGCUAACUACGUG
rnacentral:rRNA from 1 species